GACGAACGCUGGCGGCGUGCUUAACACAUGCCAGUCGAACGGUGAAGCGCUUGCCUUUUUGGUGGGUGUGGAUGAGUGGCGAACGGGUGAGUAACACGUGAGUAACCUGCCCUCUUCUUCUGGAUAACCUCAUGAAAGUGGGGCUAAUACGGGGUAUUCCGGGUCUGUCGCAUGGCGGGUUUGGGAAAGAUUGCGCCUUUGGGUGUUUUCGGUGGGGGAUGGGCUCGCGGCCUAUCAGCUUGUUGGUGGGGUGAUGGCCUACCAAGGCGGUGACGGGUAGCCGGCCUGAGAGGGUGGACGGCCACACUGGGACUGAGCCACGGCCCAGACUCCUGCGGGAGGCAGCAGUGGGGAAUAUUGCACAAUGGGCGCAAGCCUGAUGCAGCGACGCCGCGUGAGGGAUGGAGGCCUUCGGGUUGUGAACCUCUUUCGCCAGUGAAGCAGGCCUGCUCCUGUGUGGGUGGGUUGACGGUAGCUGGAUAAGAAGCGCCGGCUAACUACGUG
rnacentral:rRNA from 1 species